GAGGUCACCGUUAUCAGGUUUCGACUAAGCCAUGCGAGGCGCGAGAUAUCUGGUCUCGCCGAACUGCUCAGUAACACGUAGUCAACCUAACCUUAAGUGGGGGAUAAUCUCGGGAAACUGAGGCUAAUACCCCAUAGUCGUCGAAUGCUGGAAUGCAUCGACAAUCAAAGUCACGGCGCUUAAGGGUGGGACUGCGACCUAUCAUGGUAGUUGUGAGUAUAAGAUACUCACAAGCCUAUAACGGGUAGGGGCCAUGAGAGUGGGAGCCUCGAGAUGCAUUCUGAGACAUGAAUGCAGGUCCUACGGGACGCAGCAGGCGCGAAAACUUUCCAAUAGCUUAACGGCUGAGAGGGGAAGCCUGAGUGGAUACGUUUUACGUAUUCUUUUGCUUUGUCCAAACAACAAGGCGAAUAAGUGGUGGGUAAGACGGGUGGCAGCCGCCGCGGUAAUACCCGCGCCACGAAUGGUGACCGCGAUUAUUGGGUCUAAAGCGUCCGUAGCCGGUUUAACAAGUUCUUGGUUAAAUCCAGCGGCUAACUGUUGGGCUCGCUGAGAAUACUGUUAAACUUGAGAUUGGGAGAGGGUAGGGGUAUUCCACGUGUAGGGGUUAAAUCCUUUAAUCCGUGGAAGACCACCGGUGGCGAAGGCGCCUACCUAGAACAAGUCUGACGGUGAGGGACGAAAGCUAGGGGAGCAAACGGGAUUAGAUACCCCGAUAGUCCUAGCAGUAAACGAUGCCCGUUUGAUGUUGCAAACUCUACGGGAGUUUGCAGUGUCGGAGCGUAGGUGUUAAACGGGCCACCUGGGGAGUACGGCCGCAAGUUGAAACUUAAGGGAAUUGGCGGGAGAGCACACAAGGGGUGGAGGCUGCGGUUUAAUCGGAUUCAACGCCGAACAUCUCACAAGAGUCGACAGCAGAAUGAAGGUCAUCCUGAAGGGCUUACCAGACAAGCUGAGAGGUGUUGCAUGGCCAUCGUCAGCUCGUACCUUGAGGCGUGCAGUUAAGUCUGUUAACGAGCGAGACCCAAACUACCAUUUGCUACCACAUUUUCAGAUUAUAUCAAAAAAGUGUGAGCACUAUGGCAGGACCGCUGGUGAUAAAUCAGAGGAAGGAUUGGGCGACGGUAGGUCCGUAUGGCCCGGAUACUCUUGGCUACACGCGGCCUACAAUGGUUGGGACAAUGCGCUGCGACGCCGAAAGGCGAAGCCAAUCGUCAAACCCAACCUCAGUUCAGAUCGUGGGCUGUAACUCGCCCACGUGAAGCCGGAAUCCCUAGUAAGCGAACGUCAUAAUCGUUCGCUGAAUACGUCCCUGCUCUUUGCACACACCGCCUGUCAAGCCAUGCGAGUAGAUCUUCGGUGAGGCUUAGUUCUUAACUAAUUCGAGCCGGAGGUCUGCAAGUGGGGCUAAGUCAUAACAAGGUA
rnacentral:rRNA from 1 species